rnacentral:rRNA from 1 species
AUUGAACGCUGGCGGCAGGCCUAACACAUGCAGGUCGAGCGGAUGAAGGGAGCUUGCUCCUGGAUUCAGCGGCGGACGGGUGAGUAAUGCCUAGGAAUCUGCCUGGUAGUGGGGGAUAACGUCCGGAAACGGGCGCUAAUACCGCAUACGUCCUGAGGGAGAAAGUGGGGGAUCUUCGGACCUCAUGCUAUCAGAUGAGCCUAGGUCGGAUUAGCUAGUUGGUGGGGUAAAGGCCUACCAAGGCGACGAUCCGUAACUGGUCUGAGAGGAUGAUCAGUCACACUGGAACUGAGACACGGUCCAGACUCCUACGGGAGGCAGCAGUGGGGAAUAUUGGACAAUGGGCGAAAGCCUGAUCCAGCCAUGCCGCGUGUGUGAAGAAGGUCUUCGGAUUGUAAAGCACUUUAAGUUGGGAGGAAGGGCAGUAAGUUAAUACCUUGCUGUUUUGACGUUACCAACAGAAUAAGCACCGGUUAACUUCGUG